rnacentral:rRNA from 1 species
GGCGGGUGCCUAACAAUGCAAGUCGAACGUCCUCCCGUUCUUCGGAACGGGAGGGAGUGGCGGACGGGUGAGUAACACAUGGGUACCUACCCCUCGGUGAGGAAUACCGGCGAGAAAUCGCCGACAAGACCGCAUAGGCUCUCUUUCUUGAGAGAGAGGGAGAGCAAAGUCUUUCUUUUGCAAGGGAGACGCCGGGGGAGGGGCCUGUGGCCGAUUAGCUAGCUGGUGGGGUAAGAGCCUACCAGGGUGACGAUCGGUAGCUGGUCUGAGAGGACGAGCAGCCACACUGGGAUUGAGAACGGCCCAGACUCCUACGGGGGGCAGCAGUGAGGAAUUUUCGGCAAUGGGCGCAAGCCUGACCGAGCAACGCCGCGUGCAGGAGGACGGCCUUCGGGUUGUAAACUGCUUUUCUGGGGGACGAGGACGCAAGGACGGUACCCCAGGAAGAAGCCCCGGCUAACUACGUGCCAGCAGCCGCGGUAAUACGUANGGGGCAAGCGUUGUCCGGAGUUACUGGGCGUA